rnacentral:lncRNA from 1 species
GCCACUGGGAAAUUGCGAAUUAAAAACGGCGCGAAUUUGAAUUGUGUUAGUAAAUCACGAAAUAAAGACGGCGCGAAAAUUUCCCGGUUUACAGUACACAGAGCGUCAAUGAAAAAUUACUUAAAAAGUGCAUUGUAAAUAAAUCAUCAUAUGUUGUUUAGUAAUGUAUAUCUUGUAUUUACUGCAACCACUUAGCCAAUGGUAUGUUUAGUAAUGUAUAUCUUGUAUUUACUGCAACCACUUAGCCAAUGGUAUGUUUAGUAAUGUAUAUCUUGUAUUUACUGCAACCACUUAGCCAAUGGUCAUUUAUAAAAAAAAAAAAAAAAAACAUCUACCAGAACAGUGAAUAAAGAUGACCACUGAAAUAUAAGCAUAAUUCCAUCAGUUAAAUUGAAACAGUUCAAACCUUUACAUAUAAAAAAAA